UGAGUGGCGGACGGGUGAGUAACGCGUGGGCAACCUGGCCUGUACAGGGGAUAACACUUAGAAAUAGGUGCUAAUACCGCAUAACGGGAGAAGCCGCAUGGCUUUUCCUGAAAACUCCGGUGGUACAGGAUGGGCCCGCGUCUGAUUAGCCAGUUGGCAGGGUAACGGCCUACCAAAGCGACGAUCAGUAGCCGGCCUGAGAGGGCGGACGGCCACACUGGGACUGAGACACGGCCCAGACUCCUACGGGAGGCAGCAG
rnacentral:rRNA from 1 species